rnacentral:lncRNA from 10 species
GGUCAGACAGACCUCCCCAGGAGCCUGACUGGAGCUACUAUACAACUGUGGGGUGGCCUUGGAAACUUGGAGACAUUUGGGGCGUGCUGAGUCACUGCUGCAGCUCAGGCCCAGGGCUCCUGUCACCACUUUGGGGAGCUGGUGGUACAAUAGAGAUAUCACUGUGGUGGGGCCUGGAAUGAGGGCCUGUCAUGGGACAGGGCACUGUAAAGAGAACAGAGACCAGGCAGGAGGAUGGCUUCAGCCCAGGAGUUUGAGGCCAGACCAGGCAACAUGGCAGUGCACACCUGUAGUCCCAACUACUCAGGAAGCAGAGGCAGGAAGACUGCUUGAGCCCAGGACUUCAAGGCAGAGGAGAUUUGGACGGAUGCAGCUACAGAGAGAAGAGCAGGUGAAGACUCAGGGAGAAAGCAGCCAUCUCCAAGCAAAGCAGAGAAGCUUCAGAAGAAACCAACCCUGCUGACACCUUGGUCUCUAACUUCUAGCCUCCAGAAUGUGGAGAAAAUAUUUCUCUGUUGAUGAAGCCACCCAGUCUACGGUACUUUGUUAUGGCAGUCCUAGCAAACGGCAG